rnacentral:ncRNA from 1 species
CACCUGGUUGAUCCUGCCAGUAGUCAUAUGCUUGUCUCAAAGAUUAAGCCAUGCAUGUCUAAGUAUAAGCUUUAAACGGCGAAACUGCGAAUGGCUCAUUAAAACAGUUAUAGUUUAUUUGGUGAUCGAUUACUAUUUGGAUAACCGUAGUAAUUCUAGAGCUAAUACAUGCGUCAAGGCCCGACUUCGGAAGGGCUGCGUUUAUUAGAUACAGAACCAACCUAGGCUCCGCCUAGUCCUUGUUGGUGAUUCAUAAUAACCCGGCGAAUCGCACGGCUUGUCCGGCGAUGGACCAUUCAAGUUUCUGACCUAUCAGCUAUGGACGGUAGGGUAUUGGCCUACCGUGGCGUUGACGGGUAACGGGGAAUUAGGGUUCGAUUCCGGAGAGGGAGCCUGAGAAACGGCUACCACAUCUAAGGAAGGCAGCAGGCGCGCAAAUUACCCAAUCCUGAUACAGGGAGGUAGUGACAAGAAAUAACAAUACAGGGCAAUUCUGUCUUGUAAUUGGAAUGAGUAGAUUUUAAAUCUCUUUACGAGUAUCAAUUGGAGGGCAAGUCUGGUGCCAGCAGCCGCGGUAAUUCCAGCUCCAAUAGCGUAUAUUAAAGUUGUUGCGGUUAAAAAGCUCGUAGUUGGAUUUCUGCCUUGGGCGACCGAUCCACCUUUCCUACGGGAUUGGUCGGUAUCAGGUUUGACCUUGGCUUUUUCUUGGGAUUCGUGCUCACGUACUUAACUGUGCGUUGACCGUGUUCCAAGACUUUUACUUUGAGGAAAUUAGAGUGUUUCAAGCAGGCUUAUGCCAUGAAUACAUUAGCAUGGAAUAAUAGGAUAUGACUUCGGUCAUAUUUUUGUUGGUUUCUAGGACUGAAGUAAUGAUUAAUAGGGACAGUCGGGGGGCAUUCGUAUUUAACUGUCAGAGGUGAAAUUUCUUG